rnacentral:ncRNA from 1 species
UCAACGGAGAGUUUGAUCCUGGCUCAGGACGAACGCUGGCGGCGUGCUUAACACAUGCAAGUCGAGCGGAAAGGCCCUUCGGGGUACUCGAGC